AUGCUUCUUUGUUGCCUGCUGCAAGCCCAGGAGAUGCUUUCCCUUUGGAUCCUUCCCUCUGGGGGUUUCCAGAAGCAUCCAGGGCCUGGGAAGUCCCUGGCAGAGCGGCUGUUGUCUGAGAGGCAGGUUGGAGAUGGGAAGGUGGAAGAGGAUCUGGUGAUUCGCGGAGGCCAGCGACCAAGCCCGCUGCUGCUUGCAGGAAGGGGAAGGAAGGGGAGAACGGGUGCGAGCUGGAGAGCUAGGACUACAGGAGGUUCAUGCUACUUCUUCCUCGCUCUGAAAUCUAAAGCCUCCUCGGGGGAGUUGGACUUCCUGCAGGUUCCUGGCUCUCUCCUGGUGUCCUUCCUCCCCUCUCUGCCGUCUGCCCUGUUUUCCCUUGCUCUUCCCUCAGUUAUUUGAAGAGGCUCCCAGUCGCUUUCAGAUUGCCUAGCCAGGAUGCUGGUACAGCUUCUGACUCUCUGCCCUGGAAGGUUUUAUUUCAGUGCAGUGCUUGUAAGCAAGUCCGCACAAAGGCAGGAUGUUAGCGCUGAUGGCUAGCGAGCUCCCUGCUCCCCUUUUAACUGCACGAGAGGGCCCAGUGAGCGUGGCAGAAGCAGUUUUGGUUCUGAUCUAAGCACUUGCACCGUAGGAAGAUGAAUUAAUAGCAAGCAGGGAUAGUUCAAGGGAAGCGAUAACAAGAACUGAGGAGCGAACCUGUCUCCCAGCGUGCUGCUUGCCUGGAGCUGCUUGGGGGAGAGAAAUCCCACAGCAUCCUUUGGCUGCAGGCUGGACAGCUGCUGGUGUGCUUCUGAACAGCCUGGGUGCUGUGGGGGAAUUUGUGAGCCGUGUCAGAGCUCAGCCUGGUGUGUUUGCUUCCUGCUAUUUCAAGCAAAGAGGCAAUGGGGAGGUGCGCUCUUAAAAAGCCCCCAGAUACAACCACCCCGAAGUCUUUUGCACCGCUGCUAAUGGCAAUAAAAAAAGGAAGAACGGACUUGGUGUGCUUACU
rnacentral:lncRNA from 1 species